rnacentral:rRNA from 1 species
UUGGAGGGCAAGUCUGGUGCCAGCAGCCGCGGUAAUUCCAGCUCCAAUAGCGUAUAUUAAAGUUGUUGCAGUUAAAAAGCUCGUAGUUGAAUUUCGGGGUCAGUAGGUUGGUCAUGCCACUGGUAUGUACUGGUCUCACUGAUUCCUCCUUCCUGAUGAACUGUAAUGCCAUUAAUUUGGUGUUGCAGGGAAUCUGGACUGUUACUUUGAAAAAAUUAGAGUGUUUAAAGCAGGCUAACGCCUGAAUACAUUAGCAUGGAAUAAUGAAAUAGGACGUUUGAUUCUAUUUUGUUGGUUUCUAGGAUCGACGUAAUGAUUAAUAGGGAUAGUUGGGGGCAUUAGUAUUCAAUUGUCAGAGGUGAAAUUCUUGGAUUUAUUGAAGACUAACUGCUGCGAAAGCAUUUGCCAAGGAUGUUUUCAUUAAUCAAGAACGAAAGUUAGGGGAUCGAAGACGAUCAGAUACCGUCGUAGUCUUAACCAUAAACUAUGCCGACUAGGGAUCGGAUGAUGUUGAUUUUAUAAUGACUCAUUCGGCGCCUUACGGGAAAC